rnacentral:misc_RNA from 1 species
GAAAUGCGAUAAGUAGUGUGAAUUGCAGAAUUCAGUGAAUCAUCGAAUCUUUGAACGCACAUCGCGCCCUUUGGUAUUCCAAAGGGCAUGCCUGUUCGAGCGUCAUUUGUACCCUCAAGCUUUGCUUGGUGUUGGGCGUCUUGUCUCUAGCUUUGCUGGAGACUCGCCUUAAAGUAAUUGGCAGCCGGCCUACUGGUUUCGGAGCGCAGCACAAGUCGCACUCUCUAUCAGCAAAGGUCUAGCAUCCAUUAAGCCUUUUUUCAACUUUUGACCUCGGAUCAGGUAGGGAUACCCGCUGAACUUAAGC